GACGUAGGGGGCAAGCGUUGUCCGGAAUUAUUGGGCGUAAAGAGCGCGUAGGCGGUCCGAUAAGUCGGCUGUGAAAGUCAGGGGCUCAACCCUUGAAAGCCGGCCGAUACUGUCGGACUAGAGUCCGGAAGAGGCAAGUGGAAUUCCCGGUGUAGCGGUGAAAUGCGCAGAUAUCGGGAGGAACACCAAUGGCGAAGGCAGCUUGCUGGGACGGUACUGACGCUGAGGCGCGAAAGCGUGGGGAGCAAACAGG
rnacentral:rRNA from 1 species